AUUGAACGCUGGCGGCAUGCUUUACACAUGCAAGUCGAACGGUAACAGGCCGCAAGGUGCUGACGAGUGGCGAACGGGUGAGUAAUGCAUCGGAACGUGCCCAGUCGUGGGGGAUAACGCAGCGAAAGCUGCGCUAAUACCGCAUACGAUCUAUGGAUGAAAGCGGGGGACCGUAAGGCCUCGCCCGAUUGGAGCGGCCGAUGUCAGAUUAGGUAGUUGGUGGGGUAAAGGCUCACCAAGCCAACGAUCUGUAGCUGGUCUGAGAGGACGACCAGCCACACUGGGACUGAGACACGGCCCAGACUCCUACGGGAGGCAGCAGUGGGGAAUUUUGGACAAUGGGCGCAAGCCUGAUCCAGCAAUGCCGCGUGCAGGAAGAAGGCCUUCGGGUUGUAAACUGCUUUUGUACGGAACGAAACGGCUCUGGUUAAUACCUGGGGCUAAUGACGGUACCGUAAGAAUAAGCACCGGCUAACUACGUGCCAGCAGCCGCUUAAGAC
rnacentral:rRNA from 1 species